rnacentral:rRNA from 1 species
GUGGGGAAUAUUGGGCAAUGGGCGCAAGCCUGACCCAGCGACGCCGCGUGAGGGAAGACGGUCUUCGGAUUGUAAACCUCUUUCAGCAGGGAAGACAAAAGGACGGUACCUGCAGAAGAAGCCACGGCUAACUACGUGCC